AAAAAGCUAGUUGUACGACAUAAAAUUAAAACUUACCUCAGUUGUACCACUUCAUUAUGUGUACAUGUCUGUGCCCCAAUAAAAUGAAAUCAUAAAUUUUGUUAAAAUACAUUUUAUGUAUGUUUUCCAAAAAUUAUGUGGACAAAGAAGUUAACAAACCUUAAAAGUAUAAGGUAGAUCAUGCAAACUUAUGUGAUUGUGUUAGAUUUGCAAAAAAAAAAAACCCCAUGAAAUAUCAUAAGGAACCUUUAUAAAUACUUUACAAUUUAGCCACUUUAUUGAUUUUUCUCAUAUGACAUACUCGAAGGAAUAUUUAAAUUUCAGAACCUGAGUAGUUGUACUAGUUAUAUCAGUAUUACUAGUCUGGUAAAUACAUUUCAUAACUGUUUAAAUACAUUUUAUGUAUGUUUUCCAUAAAUUAUGUAGACAAACAAGUUAAUAAACCUUAAAAGUAUAAGAUAGAUCAUGUAAACUUAUUUGAUGGUGUAAGAAUUGCUAAAAACAAAACAAAAAACAAAAAAAUCAUUAAAAAUAAGGAAUCUUUCUAAACAGUUACCAGUUUGGUCAUUUGAUUGUUUUUUCAUAUGGAAAUACCAAAUUGAUUUUGUCAAUUUUUGAAAUGUCAAAGUUGUACCAGUUAUACCAGUAAUUC
rnacentral:lncRNA from 1 species